UCCACUAGGUUCGUGGAGGCUUGAGCUUGAGCUUGAUGACGACUAGAUGAGCGAGCGAGCUUGUCGUAAUCUUGGAUCAAUCAAUCCGGUCUCUCUCUCUCUCUAGCUACUUGGUCCAUUUGCCAUUUGUUCGAUCUCUCUCCUGCUUGCUUGAUUAAUUACUUCCUAGCUACUGUGUAAUUAAUUAGCUAGCUAGUUCUGUGAUGGCUAUCUGUAUAUAUAUGCUAAUAGGUGUAAUUAAGGGUGUGUAAAUCUGUAUUGUUCUCCUAAAUAAGAGCAAUGCUGGAGCUGGAUGAUAGAGCUUCUGCAUGUAAAUGUUUGCUGCAAGGAGUUGGCCACUGAAACAUGUAGUGCAAUGCAAUGUUUAAUGAGAUUUGAGAGGAU
rnacentral:lncRNA from 1 species